GGAAGAGUGGAUGAGUGGUUUAAGUCACCACCCUGGAAAGGUGGCAUAGGGGUAACCCUAUCGAGAGUUCGAAUCUCUCCUCUUCCGCCA
rnacentral:tRNA from 1 species